AAAUUGAAGAGUUUGAUCAUGGCUCAGAUUGAACGCUGGCGGCAGGCCUAACACAUGCAAGUCGAACGGUAACAGGAAGCAGCUUGCUGCUUUGCUGACGAGUGGCGGACGGGUGAGUAAUGUCUGGGAAACUGCCCGAUGGAGGGGGAUAACUACUGGAAACGGUAGCUAAUACCGCAUAACGUCGCAAGACCAAAGAGGGGGACCUUAGGGCCUCUUGCCAUCGGAUGUGCCCAGAUGGGAUUAGCUAGUAGGUGGGGUAAU
rnacentral:rRNA from 1 species